rnacentral:rRNA from 1 species
UACAGAGGGUGCGAACGUUGCUCGGAUUUACUGGGCGUAAAGCGCUUGUAGGCGGGCUGAUGUGUCGGAUGUGAAAUCCCUGAGCUUAACUCAGGAACUGCAUUCGAAACUAUCAGUCUUGAGGAAUUGAGAGGAGAACGGAAUUCCCGGUGUAGAGGUGAAAUUCGUAGAUAUCGGGAGGAACACCAGAUGCGAAGGCGGUUCUCUGGAAAUUAUCUGACGCUGAGAAGCGAAAGCGUGGGGAGCAAACAGG